rnacentral:rRNA from 1 species
CCUACGGGAGGCAGCAGUCGAGAAUCAUUCACAAUGGGGGAAACCCUGAUGGUGCGACGCCGCGUGGGGGAAUGAAGGUCUUCGGAUUGUAAACCCCUGUCAUGUGGGAGCAAAUUAAAAAGAUAGUACCACAAGAGGAAGAGACGGCUAACUCUGUGUCAGCAGCCGCGGUAAUACAGAGGUCUCAAGCGUUGUUCGGAAUCACUGGGCGUAAAGCGUGCGUAGGCUGUUUCGUAAGGCGUGUGUGAAAGGCGCGGGCUCAACCCGCGGACGGCACAUGAUACUGCGAGACUAGAGUAAUGGAGGGGGAACCGGAAUUCUCGGUGUAGCAGUGAAAUGCGGAGAUAUCGAGAGGAACACUCGUGGCGAAGGCGGGUUCCUGGACAUUAACUGACGCUGAGGCACGAAGGCCAGGGGAGCGAAAGGGAUUAGAUACCCCUGUAGUC